GGGGGUAUAACUCAGCAGAAGAGCAUUUGACUGCUGAUCAAGAAAUCCCCGGUUCAAAUCCUGGUGCCCCCU
rnacentral:tRNA from 1 species